UACGAAGGGUGCAAGCGUUAAUCGGAAUUACUGGGCGUAAAGGGUGCGUAGGCGGUUGUUUAAGUCUGUCGUGAAAUCCCCGGGCUCAUCCUGGGAAUGGCGGUGGAUACUGGAUAGCUAGAGUGUGUCAGAGGAUGGUGGAAUUCCCGGUGUAGCGGUGAAAUGCGUAGAGAUCGGGAGGAACAUCAGUGGCGAAGGCGGCCAUCUGGGACAACACUGACGCUGAAGCACGAAAGCGUGGGGAGCAAACAGG
rnacentral:rRNA from 1 species